AAAAAGAAUAACUACAUCACCAGAACGGAUCAUCACCCCUGACCUCUGAAUCAAAGAGAAGGUCAGGUGACUUAUCAGAAGCACCAGGAACAAACAGUCUGUGAAUCCCUCACAGUGAAGAUAAUCAGCGGUUGCAACCAGGACAGAUUAAGUAUCUUCUGCAAAUCACCAGUCCAUGCCUCCUUCACCUCAGCAGAGGGGGCUUGCAAUGUGUAGGUGUCCUCCAACUUUCUUCGGCGGAACCAGAUCUCGAAGCAGAGGCCACUGCCCCCUGAUGUGUGAUGAUGAACUCUCCCUGGCGCAGUAAACGUCCCUGCUCCUUCAGAUUUACCUGUGAAAACAUGGCGUGUUUUA